AUCCUCAUGCAAUUCACAGCGCCCUCUCUGCUGCCAAUCCACAAAAAAACUAGUCACAGACUAAAAGGGCCACCGAAUUCUUUCCCAGUCUGAGAGACCAAAUGCUAGAACUCUCGUGCAUCUAUUUACUAUCAUAAUUCAGAACCGACCCAAAAUAAGAAGGCAUCAUGGUGUUACCAAAUAAAGCUGGAACAUUAAUUAAGUAUUCCCUCAUCCCUCUUCUCCCAAAAGAAAACUUCCUCUCUCGCACGCCUUUAUCUUGUGCUCCAACGACGAGGAUUGCCAAUGGAGUCCCUCGUUCCCUCUCUCGUCAACCGUAAGUGGUUCCUCUGCUCUUUGGCUAGCUUCUUCGGCCUCCUCUUCGUCUCCUUCAGCCUUAACAAAGCUUCCCGUCCGGGCCCGGCGCUCGCAUCCUUUCGCGACUCGGAGACGAGCCUCAACGCAACGUUGCUGGAGUCCGGCGAGCUGCUCUCUUCCCAAUCCUUGCAGAGUAGCGGUCCAAUUCGUAGCACACAAAACAUAGAGUUCUCUCCACAACCUGGAGUGGUAGAUAUUGUUCAACCCCCAGCAACCAGCACAGCCUUGUCUCCGUUAUCCGGAUAUAUUUACUUGUCUCCACCUAUAGCGUUGGUGUCACCACCAAAAUCUAGUGGAGCUCCAGUAGUCUCCUCAGAAUCUAAUGGAACAAAUCUGGUCUCCUCUCAAAGCAAGACGGAGAUGCCUCGGUACAAGGAAAAUACAACGUUGUUGCUAUCGGUGGGUGGUGGUGCUGAGAAGGAAAAGCCGAAGAAAGAGAAGAAGAAGUGUGAUAUCUUCGACGGCAACUGGGUUUAUGACCGGAAAGGCUAUCCGCUCUACCGAGCGCAUUGGUGUCCGUUCCUUAGCGAUCAGGUGACUUGCCAGAAGAAUGGAAGACCAGACAAAGACUACGAGCAUUGGAGGUGGCAACCCAAAGGCUGCGAACUUCCUAGGUAUAAUGGGAAGGAAAUGCUAGAGAGGUGGAGGGGGAAAAGAGUGGUGAUCAUCGGCGACUCUCUUAACAGGAACAUGUGGGAAUCACUCGCCUGUAUCCUCUACUCUUCGGGGAGCCGAUCAAGGGCCUAUGUCAAAUCGAACAUUCCACAAUAUAAGAUCUUCCGAGCCUUAGACUUUGAUUGCACGGUGGAGUUCUACUGGAACCCGUUCCUUGUAGAGCUGGAGGAAAGGAGGGACAACACGAAGGUGCUCAAGCUUGACAAGCUUCCGGGGUCAUCCAAGCGUUGGAGAGGUGCGGAUGUCCUGGUUUUCAACACUGGUCACUGGUGGACUCACCAUGGAAAAAUAAAAGCGUGGGACUAUUUCGAGUGCGGGGGCCAAUUGGUAGAAGAGAUGGGAGUAAUUGAAGCGUUUAAUAAGGCUCUGGGGACGUGGGCUCGCUGGGCUGACCGACAUGUGGACUCCACCAAGACUACUGUCUUUUUCCGGGGCAUCUCUCCUGAGCACAAGAGCAUCAAAUAAAGCACAUCCGGUGGGUCUCAUCCUUUUUGAAGCCAGCCUUGCUCACUUUCUUAGUAGUUGAGCCAGUGUCAGGGUUCAGAUGGAUGGAACUCUAGAGUGAAGAGAAUUGCCUAACCAGGCACCUGCUUGAUGGCUUACCACUAUCAACCAAGAUUCAAUAUAUCAGUGCCAUACUAGCAUCGUAUCAGUACAGUAUGGGAGAACUGGUGCCACAAUCAGACGACACCAAUGACCACUGAGACCUACGUGCAGCGGUUUCCAGGAAAAAUGAUAUCUUUGGUGGAGAGGACAGUGGAGAAGAUGAGAACGCCGGUUCGAUAUCUGAACAUCACACGGCUAUCAGAGUACCGGAGAGAUGCACACACAGCAGUGUACACCUCAAGGCAGGGGAAACUCCUGACUGCAGAGCAGCGAAAGCAACCUGAAAGAUAUGCCGACUGCAGCCAUUGGUGCCUUCCAGGACUACCUGAUACUUGGAACAUGCUUCUGUUUGCCUCCCUCUUUGGAAACCCAUCCGCUGUAUCAUAGAUCUUCUUCCAC